GACGAACGCUGGCGGCGUGCUUAACACAUGCAAGUCGAACGAAGUGGCGAACGGGUGAGUAACGCGUAAUCAACCUGCCCUUCAGAGGGGGACAACAGUUGGAAACGACUGCUAAUACCGCAUACUGAAGGAGGGGAUUGCGUCUGAUUAGCUAGUUGGAGGGGUACCGGCCCACCAGGGCGAUGCUCAGUAGCGGGUCUGGGAGAGUGAACGGCCACAUUGGGACUGUGACACGGCCCAGACUCCACCGGGGGGCAGAAGUGGGGAAUCUUCCGAAAUGGACGAAAGUCUGACCGGGCAACGCCGGGUGAGUGAAAAAGGUUUUCGGAUCGUAAAACUCUUUUGUUAGAGAAGCGGUAUCUAACCAGAAAGCCACGGCUAACUACGUGCCAGCAGCCGCGGUAAUUC
rnacentral:rRNA from 1 species